CAGUCGCCGCGGGAAUACGUAGGGUGCAAGCGUUAAUCGGAAUUACUGGGCGUAAAGCGUGCGCAGGCGGUUUUGUAAGACAGAGGUGAAAUCCCCGGGCUCAACCUGGGAACUGCAUUUGUGACUGUAUAGCUAGAGUACGGCAGAGGGGGAUGGAAUUCCGCGUGUAGCAGUGAAAUGCGUAGAUAUGCGGAGGAACACCGAUGGCGAAGGCAAUCCCCUGGGCCUGUACUGACGCUCAUGCACGAAAGCGUGGGGAGCAAACAGGAUUAGAGACCCGCGUAGUCCCUGUCUCUUAUAA
rnacentral:rRNA from 1 species